ensembl:lncRNA
GUGAGAGGGAAGUUGCUCACUUGUGUCCGACUUCGUGACUGCAUGGACCGCAGCCCACCAGGCUCCUCUGUCCAUGGGGUUUUCCAGGCAUAUGGGAUCUUAAUUCCCUGACCAGGGUUUGAACCCCUGCUCCCUGCAUUGGAAGCACAGAGUCUUAACCACUGGACCUCCACGGAAGUCCUGUGAAUGGAGACCUGCCACGCUGUGGGUGAGCAAGAAGAUGGAGGUGAAAUACGACAACCCUAGACCAUCUCAACAGCAGCAAGGCUGAGUGCCCGGCACAGGCUUGAGUGUGGAAAAGUGUCGGGCAAGAGAGGAAGGCUUCAGCCUGUGUGAGAAGCCAACUCAGCCCCCAGUGCAGACUCUGCCAUCGCCUAGCUGCGGGAGUUGGGUCCGUUUCACAAAGUGUGAAACCUGCUGGUCCAGUGGUUAAGACUUGCCCUUCCAGUGUAGAUGAAUGCUGUCCCCAAAUGGAUGAAUCGGUUGACUAGUUGAUCAGUAAACUGUAAAUGCUGCU